UACGAAGGUCCCAAGCGUUAUCCGGAUUUAUUGGGUUUAAAGGGUGCGUAGGCGGGCUAUUAAGUCAGUGGUGAAAUCUCCGAGCCUAACUCGGAAACUGCCAUUGAUACUGAUGGUCUUGAGUACAUUUGAGGUGGGCGGAAUGUGUCAUGUAGCGGUGAAAUGCUUAGAUAUGACACAGAACACCGAUUGCGAAGGCAGCUCACUAAACUGUAACUGACGCUGAGGCACGAAAGUGUGGGGAUCAAACAGG
rnacentral:rRNA from 1 species